rnacentral:rRNA from 1 species
UUCAGAUUGCAGUCUGCAACUCGACUGCAUGAAGUCGGAAUCGCUAGUAAUCGCGGAUCAGCAUGCCGCGGUGAAUACGUUCCCGGGCCUUGUACACACCGCCCGUCACACCAUGAGAGUCGGGAACACCCGAAGUCCGUAGCCUAACCGCAAGGGGGCGCGGCUGAAGGUGGGUUCGAUAAUUGGGGUGAAGUCGUAACAAGGUAGC